AAAAUGACUCUCGGCAACGGAUAUCUCGGCUCUUGCAUCGAUGAAGAACGUAGCAAAAUGCGAUACUUGGUGUGAAUUGCAGAAUCCCGUGAACCAUCGAGUCUUUGAACGCAAGUUGCGCCCGAAGCCAUUAGGCUGAGGGCACGCCUGCCUGGGUGUCACAC
rnacentral:rRNA from 1 species